rnacentral:rRNA from 1 species
ACGAGGGGUGCAAACGUUAUUCGGAUUUACUGGGUGUAAAGGGUGUGUAGACGGUAUGUUAAGUUUGUUGUUAAAUCUUUCGGCCUAACCGAAAGUUCGCAGUGAAAACUAGCAUUCUAGAGGGUGAGAGAGAGAAGUGGAAUUCUCGGAGUAGCGGUAAAAUGCGUAGAUCUCGAGAGGAACACCGAUGGCGAAGGCAGCUUCUUGGCUCAUUUCUGACGUUGAGACACGAAAGCGUGGGGAGCAAACAGG